rnacentral:rRNA from 1 species
CCUACGGGAGGCUGCAGUCGAGAAUCAUUCACAAUGGGGGAAACCCUGAUGGUGCGACGCCGCGUGGGGGAAUGAAGGUCUUCGGAUUGUAAACCCCUGUCAUGUGGGAGCAAAUUAAAAAGAUAGUACCACAAGAGGAAGAGACGGCUAACUCUGUGCCAGCAGCCGCGGUAAUACAGAGGUCUCAAGCGUUGUUCGGAAUCACUGGGCGUAAAGAGUGCGUAGGCUGUUUCGUAAGUCGGAUGGGAAAGGCGGGGGCUGAACCCGCGAACGGCACAUGAUACUGCGAGACUAGAGUAAUGGAGGGGGAACCGGAAUUCUCGGUGUAGGAGUGAAAUGCGUAGAGAUCGAGAGGAACACUCAUGGCGAAGGCGGGUUCCUAGACAUUAACUGACGCUGAGGCACGAAGGCCAGGGGAGCAAAAGGGAUUAGAUACCCGAGUAGUC